rnacentral:antisense_RNA from 1 species
UUUUAUGGUGGUCGUGCGCAGGGCGCCUUAGGGCGCGCCGGGUCCCGAACUUACCGGUCUACUAACCUGCGUGCGGCUGCCACCUUC